UACGAGAGGCCCAAACGUUAUUCGGAAUUACUGGGCUUAAAGAGUUCGUAGGCGGCAUGAAAAGUAGGGUGUGAAAGCCCUCGGCUCAACCGAGGAAUAGCGCUCUAAACUGUCGUGCUAGAGGAAGCUAGAGGUGAGCGGAACUGAUGGUGGAGCGGUGAAAUGCGCAGAUAUCAGGAGGAACACCAACAGCGAAGGCAGCUCGCUGGGACGGUAUUGACGCUGAGGCGCGAAAGCGUGGGGAGCGAACAGG
rnacentral:rRNA from 1 species